CUGAAUAAAUGAUGUGGUGCUUUCUCUUCACAACAAAACAAAGUGCUGCCAGCAGCCUGGUGUUCCUGAGGAGCCCAGCAAUAAUGAAAGGGAAAAAGAAGCCCAGCUCUUGGGAGCAAUUUUGUGCACGAAAUAACCUGAAGAGCAGGAUGUUGGGACUAUUAGGGUGAGCACACAUUUCUCACUGCUUGGUGGACACAGCGCUGGAGGGCAAAGCCAAAAGCCUCCUCCGCGCGUGCUUCUCGAGUGUCUUCUGGCUGCCUGCAGAGAAGGAAAUGCCAAAAGGGGACCUUGCCCUCUACAUCAAGACCCUGAACUCCAUGGACAGCAUGCUGAGGACAAUGGUGCUCAGCUUUCCUGCCUCUCGAGUCAGCGAGGAGCUGCAGGGCAUCUUGGAGGUCUGGCACAAGCAAAAAGGGGGAGUGUUUGAGGGCUGUUACUCACUUGGGGGGAGA